UUGUAGUUUUUGAGUCAAUUGCAUACUGCUUUUAGCUGUACACAUUGAUUAACUUAAACAGUUUUCGUAAAUGCAUUUCAGAGAAAAGUGAAUUCUGAGAUUUGAAUAAUGCAUCUGACGUGUGGGAUGACGUCACGACGCACGUAUUUUGAUUUUUACCAGUCGUUCAAGGCGGACGGAUUCAGUCCCAAGAAGCUAAAGUUUUUCAAAGACAUUUGUAGGGAGGACUUUGCAGCUAAUGAUUUCCUUAGGCUGAACCAAAACCUGCCAGACUAAAGUUGAUUUGGGAGAGAAAGACGUUGAAAACUCAAUCAUCUUGACAUUCUUCAAUGAGUAAUUGUUCAAUUUUUAGGCAAAUACUGUACACUUUGAAUGCUGUGAAUAAAACUAUAUUUUAAAUAUAUUUAAAA